GAUGAACGCUGGCGGCGUGCUUAACACAUGCAAGUCGAACGGUGAAGCCGAAGCUUGCUUGGUGGAUCAGUGGCGAACGGGUGAGUAACACGUGAGCAACCUGCCCUGGACUCUGGGAUAAGCGCUGGAAACGGCGUCUAAUACUGGAUAUGAGCUCUCAUCGCAUGGUGGGGGUUGGAAAGAUUUUUUCGGCUGGGAUGGGCUCGCGGCCUAUCAGCUUGUUGGUGAGGUAAUGGCUCACCAAGGCGUCGACGGGUAGCCGGCCUGAGAGGGUGACCGGCCACACUGGGACUGAGACACGGCCCAG
rnacentral:rRNA from 1 species